AUGUGUGUGGCCUGGUGGCCUCUUGGGCGGAGAGAUACCGGAGCGAUCUCAGGCCCAAAAAAGAAAACCGCUGUGUGUUGCUGGCAGGUGGACCCGCGUAUGGCUCGCUGGACCGUCUUGUUUCAGCCACCGCGCCUCACAAUCCUUUCCUCCCUGCCGCCGCGGAUGGCCGACGUGCUCGGCUCCCCCAUUCCGGCGGCACUUUUCCGAUGCCUCCUCCAGCGUGUGGCCAACGAACUAACUCUAGCCGACACCUCGCGACCUCCCACCGGCCUACAACACAUCUCGAGAUUGCCAGAGAGCUCGCUGGCCGUUGCAUGGAGGUCUGGAGGGACUUGGCCCUUGCACUCGACAUGUUCCCUUGCGACAUCGAGCAGCAGCUCGCUCAGGCAGUUCAUGAGUAGAAGCCACUUACAUGUUUGCUUGGAUUGCACAGGUAUUGGAAGCCUUGUCUUCCUCCACAGAACCGGACUGGGAGUGGUGGCUAGAUAUUUGCACCCAAGCACCCCCGUUGGGGGGAAGAGCAAGUUGGGGGAGGUCACAUUCAAAGGUGACUGGAUGAAGAGGCGCGCCCAUGUUGAUCUUGGAGACCAAAGUGGCCCGGCUCGUGGCGCGAGGAUCCUGAUCCACCUCUCUGACCGGCUGAAGGACUUGGCUGCGACGGUGCUGCUGAUGAUAGCGCCGCCACCAGCCCGAUGUACAUAUCAAGUUAGACUGGAACGAGCUGACGGCGAUCUGGGGGCCGAUGGUCGCCGUGAGGACGGCCCCCGAGGGCCGAGGGCGCACAGGGUGAAGGAAGGUCAACCUGAGAGUUUUUGCUUGGAAGAAGCUUGCUACCAAGAGGCCGAGAAAGAGGACCACGGCACUACCAGGAUACACACUACGUUUAGCAUGCAGUCCGCAGGUUCCCACUCACUCACAGACAUGACGAGACCCACCUACGCGCUCCUCCUUCACACCGUCGCGCUGCUCCUCCUCCUCCUGCUGCUGCCGGCGGCUACGACGGUGACCGCGGCGCCCUCGCAGACGCAGUCGCAGGCCGACGCUCUUCUGGCAUGGAAGGCCAGCCUCGGCCACCCAGCCGUGCUGUCCAGCUGGACCAACGCAACGCCGGUCUGCUCCUCUUGGCGCGGUGUGGCCUGCGACGCCGCCGGCCACGUCACGUCCCUCAGGCUCCGGGGGUUUGGAGUUGGACUCACAGGCACGCUCGACGCGCUGGACGCCGCGCGGCUGCGCUCCCUCGCCGCGCUCGACCUCGGCAGCAACUGGUUGAAUGGCUCCAUCCCGCCGCAGCUCGGCGACCUCUCGGGCCUCGUCGAACUCCGCCUCUACAACAACAACCUCGCCGGCGACAUUCCGCAUCAGCUCAGCAGGCUCCCCAGGAUCAUGCACCUCGACCUGGGCGCCAACUUCCUCACCAACCAGAAGGGCUACCGCAAGUUCUCGCCCAUGCCCACCGUCAACUUCCUCUCGCUCUACCUCAACUACCUCGACGGAGGCUUCCCGGAGUUCAUCCUCAAGAGCGGCAACAUCACCUACCUCGACCUGUCGCAGAACACUCUCUCUGGACCAAUACCAGACUCGCUGCCGGAGAACCUCCCCAACCUCAUGUACCUCAACUUGUCCAUCAAUGCCUUCUCCGGGCGGAUACCAACGUCGCUGUCGAAGCUGGAGAAGCUCCAGGACCUGCGGGUUAGCCACAACAAUCUGACGGGUGGAAUCCCCGAGUUCCUUGGUUCCAUGUCCCAGCUGAGGGGUCUUGAACUCGGCGGCAACCCGCUCGGCGGAUCGAUCCCGCCAGUUCUCGGCCGGCUCGAAAUGCUACAGCGCCUUGACAUCAUGAACGCCGGGUUGGUUUCCACUAUUCCACCCGAGUUGGGCAACCUUGGCAAUGUCAAUUCCAUGGAACUAGACAUGAACCAGCUCACCGGUGUCCUGCCGCCGGAGUUGUCCGGGAUGCGCCAGAUGCGUGAAUUUGGCACAUCAUCGAACAAACUCACCGGUCAGAUUCCACCGGCUUUAUUUACGAGCUGGCCAGAGCUCGUAUCAUUCCAAGUGCAGAACAACUCGUUUUCAGGGAGGAUCCCACCGGAGCUCGGCAAGGCAGCCAAGCUGAAAAUCCUGUAUCUCUUCAGCAACAAUCUUGUCGGCUCUAUCCCUGCAGAGCUGGGCGACCUAGUGAGCCUGAAUCACUUGGAUUUGUCGGUGAACUCUCUCACGGGACCGAUCCCCAGCUCGUUCGGGAAUCUCAAGCAGCUCCUGAGGUUGGCGCUCUUCUUCAACCGGCUCACCGGCACGAUCCCAAUGGAGAUUGGCAACAUGACAGCGUUGCAAGUCUUGGACAUCAACACCAAUAGUUUGGAAGGCGAGCUGCCCACCACCGUCACAUGGCUCAGUAAUCUCCAAUACCUUGCCCUGUUUGACAACAACUUCAAUGGCACCAUACCGCCGGACCUCGGGAAGGGGCUGAACUUAACUGACGUGGGUUUCGCGAACAACAGCUUCUCCGGUGAGCUGCCGCAGAGACUGUGUGAUGGCCUCACGCUGCAAAACUUCACGGCGAACCACAACAACUUCAGCGGCAGGCUGCCGCCCUGCUUGAAAAAUUGCACGGGGUUGUUCCGGGUGCGGCUGGAAGGCAACCAAUUCACUGGCAAUAUCUCAGAGAUGUUUGGCGUCCAUCCCAGCUUGGACUACUUGGAUGUCUCGGGGAAUCAGCUGACAGGGAACUUAUCAUCUGAUUGGUCACAAUGCACCAAUCUUACACUCUUAAACAUGAACGGUAAUCGAAUAUCUGGCAAUAUUGAUGCAACCUUCUGCGAAUUGAUCUCUCUCCAUUCUCUGGAUCUAUCAAAUAACCAAUUCACUGGGGAGCUCCCAAGUUGCUGGUGGAAACUCAAAAGUAUGUGGUUAAUGGAUUUGUCCAACAACGGUUUUUCAGGUGAACUUCCUAUAUCAACAAGCUUGGGCCUUGAACUCCAGUCACUUCGUCUUGCUAACAAUAGCUUUCUUGGAGUUUUUCCAUCUAUAAUUGAAACCUGCAGAGAUCUUGUCAUCCUAGAUCUUGGGAACUACAAGUUCUUCGGUGAUAUCCCCUCUUGGGUUGGAACGAGUGUUCCUCUUCUAACAGUUCUGAGCCUCCCAUCCAACAAUUUCAGUGGUGUUGUUCCACCCGAGUUAUCCCAACUUUCUUAUCUGCAAGUACUGGACCUGUCCAGCAACUCCUUCUCAGGUGAGAUCCUCACGGCCAUGCCAAACCACAAUUGCUCUCUCGAGUCAUUUCAUCUCGCCGGCAAUGGCUUCGUGGGUGCCUUCCCACCGUACCUACGAGGCUGCAACUCCCUGGCCACCCUGGACAUCGGGAACAACCGGUUCUUUGGUGGUAUCCCCACAUGGAUCGGGAAUCAGCUUCCAUCACUGAAAAUCCUUAGACUCGGAUCAAACAAUUUCACCGGAGAAAUCCCCACGGAGUUAUCAAGGCUUUCGCAACUUCAGCUGCUCGAUAUGGCCAACAAUAGCUUGAUAGGAUCAAUUCCAGUUGCCUUUGGCAACUUGACCUCCAUGAGGCAUAAUGUUCCCCCAUUGGUCCGACCGAGGCCAGUUUCCGCUCCUUUGCAGAUUAUGCCCAAUGGCCAAGGCCAACUGCGAGUGGAUGAGUUUCCAGCCAGAGUCAACAUAUCAUGGAAGGGCCGUGAGCAGACUUUUCAGAAAAGCAUCGGGUUAAUAACAGGUAUUGAUCUAUCAAGCAACCGACUUACAGAGAGCAUCCCUGAAGAGCUAACAUACCUCAAAGGUCUCCGGUUUCUGAACUUGUCCAGAAAUGAUCUAUCAGGCAGUAUUCCAGAAAAAACCGGAAGGUUGGAGCUCCUGGAUUUCCUUGACCUCUCAUGCAAUGAACUCUCAGGCACUAUUCCUCCUAGCAUUUCAAAUCUGCGUAAUCCAGGGCUCUGUGGCUUCCCGUUGUUGAACGUGUGUGAGCCUACAUUGGACCAAGGAGCUGAAGUCCACAAAGAACUGAGAGGAGACAUGUGGUUGUGGUACUCUGUAAUUCUUGGCAUUGUUUCCGGCUUCUGGCUUUGGUUUGGAGCUCUGUUCUUCCUGGAGCAGUGGAGGUCUUGUUUUCUCUGUUUUGUUGAUGGCUUAGGCAAGAAGAUACAUGCCAGACGUCAAUAA
rnacentral:rRNA from 1 species